rnacentral:rRNA from 1 species
GGUUGAUCCUGCCAGUAGUCAUAUGCUUGUCUCAAAGAUUAAGCCAUGCAUGUCUAAGUAUAAACUGCUUUAUACUGUGAAACUGCGAAUGGCUCAUUAAAUCAGUUAUAGUUUAUUUGAUGGUACCUUACUACCGGAUAACCGUAGUAAUUCUAGAGCUAAUACGUGCGUAAAUCCCGACUCCUGGAAGGGACGUAUUUAUUAGAUUUAAGGCCGACCCGGCUCUGCCGGUCUCGCGGUGAAUCAUGAUAACUUCACGAAUCGCAUGGCCUUGUGCCGGCGAUGUUUCAUU